UGCAGGCCAUGGUGUAAGAGACUCAGUCCUCCACUUGCUCACACUCUCCUCCUUGAAUUAUUGCAAGAAAGAGAGAAGAAAAGAAACCAAGACCAUGUGCUUUGCCCUCUCUGGGGACAUCAGAACUGUGAGGCUUCAAAUUUUCAUUGUCUCUAGCCAAGAGAGAAUGUAAAAUGGCUUCAUCAGGCGCAGCAAAGAAGCACUUCAGAAUCCACCCAUAACUCAACAGACACAAAGCUCUGUGUCAGGUCUGCAAGGUGCUGUAAGAUCUCUAUGAGGAUAUGGGAACAUUUCUGGAACAAGAAACUGCUUUGGACUACGAGGAUUCUUUUACUGAGGAUAACGUCAAGCAUUUUUAAGGAGAUGACACUCACUGCUAAAAUGCAAACAGCUGAGGGAGUGGCUCUAGGAUAGUGCUGCACGUGCAUUUUGUCCUUUCCAGCGAAUUAAGAAGAAAACCUACAAAAACAACAUUCUAGUUUGCUUCAAA